UACGGGUAACGGGGAUUAGGGUUCGAUUCCGGAGAGGGAGCCUGAGAAACGGCUACCACAUCCAAGGAAGGCAGCAGGCGCGCAAAUUACCCAAUCCCGACACGGGGAGGUAGUGACAAUAAAUAACAAUACGGGGCUCAUUUGGGUCUCGUAAUUGGAAUGAGUACAAUUUAAAUCCCUUAACGAGGAACAAUUGGAGGGCAAGUCUGGUGCCAGCAGCCGCGGUAAUUCCAGCUCCAAUAGCGUAUAUUAAAGUUGUUGCAGUUAAAAAGCUCGUAGUUGAACUUCGGGGUUUACCCAUUGGUCAGGCUUAAUUGUCUGUACUGGUGAGAUGAAUCUCUACCUUCUGAGGAACUUUCAUGCCAUUUAUUUGGUGUGAUUGGAAAUCAGGACUGUUACUUUGAAAAAAUUAGAGUGUUUAAAGCAGGCUAACGUCUGAAUACAUUAGCAUGGAAUAAUGAAAUAGGACGGAUUGAUUCUAUUUCGUUGGUUUCUAGGAUCACCGUAAUGAUUAAUAGGGAUAGUUGGGGGCAUUAGUAUUCAAUUGCCAGAGGUGAAAUUCUUGGAUUUAUUGAAGACUAACUACUGCGAAAGCAUUUGCCAAGGAUGUUUUCAUUAAUCAAGAACGAAAGUUAGGGGAUCGAAGACGAUCAGAUACCGUCGUAGUCUUAACCAUAAACUAUGCCGACUAGGGAUCGGACGAAGUUAAUUUUAUAAUGACGCGUUCGGCACCUUACGGGAAACCAAANUUUUGNGGGUUU
rnacentral:rRNA from 1 species